AUCGCUUCUCGGCCUUUUGGCUAAGAUCAAGUGUACUUUCUACGUAUCGUUUUAUGAAUGAACUAAACAGUAAACUUAUUUAUAAAACUACAAACAAAACAAU
rnacentral:snRNA from 1 species